GCCUGGCAGUGGUCUGGGCAUUCUAGAAGUAGAGAAGCUAACUUUACUGAAGACCUGAGGUCUAUUUAGGAAUAGAGUCAUCUCACUGGCCCUGGGUCCACACUGUCUUUUCUCUCUCUCCCUCCUCUCUUCCUGGAAUAGCUAACAAAUCCCUCCCUCUGUCCUCAUGCAUAUGCUAUUUUUCUCAAGGUGUGACUAUUUGUCAGUCACCAACAUGUAAAAUAAAUUGCACAGUCAAUGAAAGAGGGAAAAAGGGAAAUCAACAUACAGAGAACACAUGGAUACCUCAAAAGCAAGUGGGGGAACAGCUAUUUGACCUCCUGUUAUGGAAAUUGAACUAUUUGACCUCCAGUUAUGGAAUGAGGAUUCCUCCAGCAAGGAAUCAACCACAAAUCUAUCUGCACAGCUGAGCUGCCGGCAUUUCAUGGUUAAGAACAGGGAACUGAGGAGACUUACCAGAUGAAUGGAAUUUCACUUGUGAGACCAGUGCACAACCAAACUCAGAGCAUCAACUGCUACAAAACCUAUCUGAGAGUUUCACAGACAUUAUAGGCCACUUAACAUUCAGCACCUUCAGACUUACUUGUGUUCCUGUGACUUUGAUCCCCAGGGAGAGAAGCAUCCAUAGUCCAGGCUGGAAUGUGUUGGUUGGGAUGUACAGUAGGUACCAUCGUGCUCUCAUUAUAAAUUGUAUUUAUCAGAAUAACAUCAGGCACUUGAACUUCACCAUCAGUAACCAUAGGUUCACUUCCAUUUGAUUUAACAUAGGUCUUUUUUAAUGUUCC